UGCAAACUGUAACUCCAAGCAUCCUCAGGAACUUAUGAAUCCAGUAAAGGUACUGAGGUUAAUCACCAUUUCCUUCACAUAGAACCUCAUUUUCUUGUUUGUACUGUCACGGCCACCACUGCUCUUCUCCACCCACACUUUUAAUCAAAAGCUGGAUGCAACAAGUUGAGACCUAUAUUCUGGGGAUUGUUGAGAGUCCUUCUGGGAACACAGAGGAAAUAAUAAACUGAAGAAGAAGUAAAUAGAAAGAGGCUACAACAGUAGAGUAAAUUAAAACAUUUAAUCGCAAACUGACUCUUAGAAUAUACUGAUUAUCCUUGCCUGAACACCUAGGGUUAUUUAAGGCUUAAUGCUUCCAUUACGACUCAAGUAAUACUUUAGGGAAGACUUGUAAUUUAUUAAAACCGCCUCCAUCUUCAUAUGGAGAUCUGUUGAUAAGGUCAACAAGGUGAACAUCAAAUCGUUAUUUACAACUACUCUUCAUGUUAAUCAAAACUCUCAUCUCUGGUAUUCUACUCUAAUAAUUUGCUGAAUAUUUGUUCUGAAAGUGCUGUAUUGUGCCUUUACUGAAAAAAAAGGAUUUUAAGCUUUUUAACUUGCACAGCAGCAGCAACUGAAUUUUAUAACUCUGUUUUAUUCUGAGUUGGCACCCUAUAGGUAUUUCAGUUGAGCCAUGCUGUUCCCGUGUUUUCAUGAAUUCUAUGUUUCCCUAUAGGAUGUUUGUUCUUUUCAAGGAGGGAAUGUCCACAUAGACUAUUAAAGGACAAUGAAACUUUAAAACAUUAAAGUUUAAAGAAAAGGGAUUAGCACCACCAAUCAUAGCUUAGCAACUGGUGUGUCGUUCUUCAAAUAUCUCCACACGUGAACUGAUGUGUGUGGGGCUGUAGUAAGAUCGAUUGCCUACCCCGAGUUUGGUGGUUUCUUUUCUUACUCUGUCCAAAAACUAAAAAACCAAGACCAACUGGAAAAGUAAUGCAUGUUUGUCUGCUCUGUAAACGUUAGCAUGCCCAGCUACCUAUAAUUUAACAUUACUUCGGAGGCCGGGUGUAUGUCAUACAUUAAAAAGAAGCCCAGUUCACCACUUGCACGUCUACUGUGUAGUUGUUCCCUACUGUGUGGGAGGUGGUCCUGGAUGCUACAUCGGUGUACUGCUCCAGCAUGCAUACAAUUCAAACUUGGUAUUGGAGGAUAGAGCUUGCGGUACAUGUCAUCUCUUCAUUAUCUCAAGGCUUCGGGCACACACAUCAUACAUUCUCUCUGAGUAUGUGUGUAUGUUACAGGUGUGCUUCCCUUAUGUGCCAUGUUCUCAGAGCCGCACAAUACAGGACAUGAAACUGGCGUGUACAGCACAGGAAACGGAACUGCUGCACAUGCCACCCAAUGAACAGGAUAU